rnacentral:rRNA from 1 species
AUUGAACGCUGGCGGAAUGCUUUACACAUGCAAGUCGAACGGCAGCACGGACUUCGGUCUGGUUGCGAGUGGCGAACGGGUGAGUAAUGUAUCGGAACGUGCCCAGUCGUGGGGGAUAACGUAGUGAAAAUUACGCUAAUACCGCAUACGACCGAUGGAUGAAAGCGGGGGAUCGCAAGACCUCGCGCGAUUGGAGCGGCCGAUAUCCGAUUAGGUAGUUGGUGGGGUAAAGGCCCACCAAGCCAACGAUCUGUAGCUGGUCUGAGAGGACGACCAGCCACACUGGAACUGAGACACGGUCCAGACUCCUACGGGAGGCAGCAGCGGGGAAUUUUGGACAAUGGGCGAAAGCCUGAUCCAGCCAUUCCGCGUGCAGGAUGAAGGCCCUCGGGUUGUAAACUGCUUUUGUACAGAACGAAAAGGUUUCUACUAAUACUAGGAGCUCAUGACGGUACUGUAAGAAUAAGCACCGGCUAACUACGUGCCAGCCGCCGCGGUAA